GAUGAACGCUGGCGGCGUGCUUAACACAUGCAAGUCGAACGAUGAAGCUCAGCUUGCUGGGUGUAUUAGUGGCGAACGGGUGAGUAACACGUGAGUAACCUGCCCUUAACUCUGGGAUAAGCCUGGGAAACUAGGUCUAAUACCGGAUAGGAGCGUCCACCGCAUGGUGGGUGUUGGAAAGAUUUAUCGGUUUUGGAUGGACUCGCGGCCUAUCAGCUUGUUGGUGAGGUAAUGGCUCACCAAGGCGACGACGGGUAGCCGGCCUGAGAGGGUGACCGGCCACACUGGGACUGAGACACGGCCCAGACUCCUACGGGAGGCAGCAGUGGGGAAUAUUGCACAAUGGGCGAAAGCCUGGUGCAGCGACGCCGCGUGAGGGAUGACGGCCUUCGGGUUGUAAACCUCUUUCAGUAGGGAAGAAGCGAAAGUGACGGUACCUGCAGAAGAAGCACCGGCUAACUACGUG
rnacentral:rRNA from 1 species